GCAUUUUUAAUUUUGAUAAAUAUAAAAGACUAAAAUAUAAACAAUUGAUAUAUAAUAGAGUAGAUAGGGAAAAAGGUAAACUAACCUGGAAAUAUUCAGGAAUCCACAAGGGAAGUACAAGGGCUUCUUCUAGAAGGCUUUUUGCUUGAGUGAGGCCUGCAACAUCGUCCCAUCUCACACCAGGAGACCUUUCUAACACAUCCCUUUCCAACAUUUCCGCCAGCUCAGGAUCAGGACCUUCAUACUCAUACUUUUUUGACUUCUUCCCAUCUUCAUUCUGCAAUCCAUCCACAAAUCAAUCAAAUCUCAUUUCAUUUCAUCUCCAAUUUAAUUAACUCCAAAUUCUUCCUAUUCACAACACUAACAACUUACUUACAACUGAACGUGAACCAUCACCUGUCCUGCUACCCUUUCCAGAAGCACCGCCGCCGCCGUUCUUUCCAUCCGUCGGUGGUCGGGGCCCAGAGCUAACCCUGCUGGUCUUUACGGCACCAGCAGCGGGCCUGGUAGAGCCUCGGCUCCAAGCUCCGUCCUUUCGAGCAGUGGGCAUGGCGGGCCUUCUGGCAUCUCGACUUGGCGGUCUCCAGACGUCGGGGUCAUGUUCGUCGACGGUGGAAGCGCGAGGAGUGGUAGUGGGAAUGGGAUACUCAUCCGACGGUUGAAAAACAAAGGAGGAGGAGUGUGAUCGUGAUCGUGAUCGUGAUCGAGUUUCCUUAAACGCCCUUCUCUCCGCGUCUAGUUGUUUCACCACUUGGGUUUCAUCGCACAGCGCUUUCUUCACGUUCAUCCAUUUCGCUCUCACUAAAGGGUCGUCGACGGAGUUGAGGUGGUCGCCGAUUCGGGCAACGGCGCCGUCGAAGAAGAUGAUAGAGGUGUCGUAGAGUCCUUCCGCCGCGUAUUCUCUGGCCAAUUUAAGCAGCUCUGCAAUCAUUCUCUGUCAAGCCUCCAAACGAAAUUCUAAGAUUGCCAGGACAACCACAUGCUUUUCCUGGGAUUACUGCAACACCAUGCUUGUUAGCGAGCCAGCGAACAACAUCAAAAUCAUCGUAGGCAUUUGCAUGUGGGAGCUUCGCCCAGAGGUAUAUGGCACCCUCUCCUCCUUUAACAGAACCCUCUCCAAGGGGAGAGAGAGCUUCUAAAACAAUUUCUUUGUUCUUGUCAAGACUUUUUACCCGGUCUACAACCCACUGAGGACCCAGUUCCAGUGAAUACAGGGCAAGAUACUGUGAUAAUAUUGAAGCACAGAUGGGAAUGUUGUCUUGAACUUUGAGAAGUUGUUCAGCAAAGUUUUCUACUUCAGA
rnacentral:sRNA from 1 species